CCGCACAAGCGGUGGAGUAUGUGGUUUAAUUCGAUGCAACGCGCAGAACCUUACCUGGGUUUGACAUCUCCGGAACUUCUCGGAAAUGAGAAGGUGCCCUUCGGGGAACCGGAUGACAGGUGCUGCAUGGCUGUUCGUCAGCUCGUGUCGUGAGAUGUUGGGUUAAGUCCCGCAACGAGCGCAACCCUUGUCCUUAGUUACCAUCAUUCAGUUGGGGACUCUAAGGAGACUGCCGGUGUAAAACCGGAGGAAGGUGGGGAUGACGUCAAGUCCUCAUGGCCCUUACACGCCAGGGCUACACACCUACUACAAUGGCCGGUACAAAGAGCUGCGAGGCCGCGAGGCCAGUGGCUAAUCCCAAAAAACCGUUCUCAGUUCGGAUUGCAGUCUGCAACUCGACUGCAGGAAGCCGGAAUCGCUAG
rnacentral:rRNA from 1 species